rnacentral:rRNA from 1 species
AGCGUACACGGUGGAUGCCCUGGCAGUCAGAGGCGAUGAAGGACGUGCUAAUCUGCGAUAAGCGUCGGUAAGGUGAUAUGAACCGUUAUAACCGGCGAUUUCCGAAUGGGGAAACCCAGUGUGAUUCGUCACACUAUCAUUAACUGAAUCCAUAGGUUAAUGAGGCGAACCGGGGGAACUGAAACAUCUAAGUACCCCGAGGAAAAGAAAUCAACCGAGAUUCCCCCAGUAGCGGCGAGCGAACGGGGAGCAGCCCAGAGCCUGAAUCAGUGUGUGUGUUAGUGGAAGCGUCUGGAAAGGCGCGCGAUACAGGGUGACAGCCCCGUACACAAAAAUGCACAUACUGUGAGCUCGAUGAGUAGGGCGGGACACGUGGUAUCCUGUCUGAAUAUGGGGGGACCAUCCUCCAAGGCUAAAUACUCCUGACUGACCGAUAGUGAACCAGUACCGUGAGGGAAAGGCGAAAAGAACCCCGGCGAGGGGAGUGAAAAAGAACCUGAAACCGUGUACGUACAAGCAGUGGGAGCACAGAGCAAUCUGUGUGACUGCGUACCUUUUGUAUAAUGGGUCAGCGACUUAUAUUCUGUAGCAAGGUUAACCGAAUAGGGGAGCCGAAGGGAAACCGAGUCUUAACUGGGCGUUAAGUUGCAGGGUAUAGACCCGAAACCCGGUGAUCUAGCCAUGGGCAGGUUGAAGGUUGGGUAACACUAACUGGAGGACCGAACCGACUAAUGUUGAAAAAUUAGCGGAUGACUUGUGGCUGGGGGUGAAAGGCCAAUCAAACCGGGAGAUAGCUGGUUCUCCCCGAAAGCUAUUUAGGUAGCGCCUCGUGAAUUCAUCUCCGGGGGUAGAGCACUGUUUCGGCAAGGGGGUCAUCCCGACUUACCAACCCGAUGCAAACUGCGAAUACCGGAGAAUGUUAUCACGGGAGACACACGGCGGGUGCUAACGUCCGUCGUGAAGAGGGAAACAACCCAGACCGCCAGCUAAGGUCCCAAAGUCAUGGUUAAGUGGGAAACGAUGUGGGAAGGCCCAGACAGCCAGGAUGUUGGCUUAGAAGCAGCCAUCAUUUAAAGAAAGCGUAAUAGCUCACUGGUCGAGUCGGCCUGCGCGGAAGAUGUAACGGGGCUAAACCAUGCACCGAAGCUGCGGCAGCGACGCUUAUGCGUUGUUGGGUAGGGGAGCGUUCUGUAAGCCUGCGAAGGUGUACUGUGAGGUAUGCUGGAGGUAUCAGAAGUGCGAAUGCUGACAUAAGUAACGAUAAAGCGGGUGAAAAGCCCGCUCGCCGGAAGACCAAGGGUUCCUGUCCAACGUUAAUCGGGGCAGGGUGAGUCGACCCCUAAGGCGAGGCCGAAAGGCGUAGUCGAUGGGAAACAGGUUAAUAUUCCUGUACUUGGUGUUACUGCGAAGGGGGGACGGAGAAGGCUAUGUUGGCCGGGCGACGGUUGUCCCGGUUUAAGCGUGUAGGCUGGUUUUCCAGGCAAAUCCGGAAAAUCAAGGCUGAGGCGUGAUGACGAGGCACUACGGUGCUGAAGCAACAAAUGCCCUGCUUCCAGGAAAAGCCUCUAAGCAUCAGGUAACAUCAAAUCGUACCCCAAACCGACACAGGUGGUCAGGUAGAGAAUACCAAGGCGCUUGAGAGAACUCGGGUGAAGGAACUAGGCAAAAUGGUGCCGUAACUUCGGGAGAAGGCACGCUGAUAUGUAGGUGAAGUCCCUCGCGGAUGGAGCUGAAAUCAGUCGAAGAUACCAGCUGGCUGCAACUGUUUAUUAAAAACACAGCACUGUGCAAACACGAAAGUGGACGUAUACGGUGUGACGCCUGCCCGGUGCCGGAAGGUUAAUUGAUGGGGUUAGCGCAAGCGAAGCUCUUGAUCGAAGCCCCGGUAAACGGCGGCCGUAACUAUAACGGUCCUAAGGUAGCGAAAUUCCUUGUCGGGUAAGUUCCGACCUGCACGAAUGGCGUAAUGAUGGCCAGGCUGUCUCCACCCGAGACUCAGUGAAAUUGAACUCGCUGUGAAGAUGCAGUGUACCCGCGGCAAGACGGAAAGACCCCGUGAACCUUUACUAUAGCUUGACACUGAACAUUGAGCCUUGAUGUGUAGGAUAGGUGGGAGGCUUUGAAGUGUGGACGCCAGUCUGCAUGGAGCCGACCUUGAAAUACCACCCUUUAAUGUUUGAUGUUCUAACGUUGACCCGUAAUCCGGGUUGCGGACAGUGUCUGGUGGGUAGUUUGACUGGGGCGGUCUCCUCCUAAAGAGUAACGGAGGAGCACGAAGGUUGGCUAAUCCUGGUCGGACAUCAGGAGGUUAGUGCAAUGGCAUAAGCCAGCUUGACUGCGAGCGUGACGGCGCGAGCAGGUGCGAAAGCAGGUCAUAGUGAUCCGGUGGUUCUGAAUGGAAGGGCCAUCGCUCAACGGAUAAAAGGUACUCCGGGGAUAACAGGCUGAUACCGCCCAAGAGUUCAUAUCGACGGCGGUGUUUGGCACCUCGAUGUCGGCUCAUCACAUCCUGGGGCUGAAGUAGGUCCCAAGGGUAUGGCUGUUCGCCAUUUAAAGUGGUACGCGAGCUGGGUUUAGAACGUCGUGAGACAGUUCGGUCCCUAUCUGCCGUGGGCGCUGGAGAACUGAGGGGGGCUGCUCCUAGUACGAGAGGACCGGAGUGGACGCAUCACUGGUGUUCGGGUUGUCAUGCCAAUGGCACUGCCCGGUAGCUAAAUGCGGAAGAGAUAAGUGCUGAAAGCAUCUAAGCACGAAACUUGCCCCGAGAUGAGUUCU